rnacentral:rRNA from 1 species
GAUGAACGCUGGCGGCGUGUCUAAAACAUGCAAGUCGAGCGGCAGCAUGACCUUCGGGUUGAUGGCGAGCGGCGGACGGCUGAGUAACGCGUAGGAAUAUACCCCAAAGUGAGGGAUAACUGCCCGAAAGGGUGGCUAAUACCGCAUGUGGUCUUCGGAUUAAAGCUUUAUGCGCUUUGGGAAUAGCCUGCGUUCGAUUAGCUAGUUGGUGAGGUAAAAGCUCACCAAGGCGACGAUCGAUAGCUGGUCUGAGAGGAUGAUCAGCCAGACUGGAACUGAGACGCGGUCCAGACUCCUACGGGAGGCAGCAGUUGGGAAUUUUCCACAAUGGGCGAAAGCCUGAUGGAGCAACGCCGCGUGCAGGAUGAAUGCCUUCGGGUUGUAAACUGCUUUUAUGUGAGAAGAAUAUGACGGUAACACAUGAAUAAGGGUCGGCUAACUACGUGCCAGCCGCCGCGGUAA